ACUGGGUCACGGGUCUUGGGGGUCAACCCGGGUUAACCCGGGUCAACCCAGGUCAAUAACAAAAGGAACACAUUAAUAUGGUUCUUUUGACAUAAAAUAUCACAUUAACAUAUAUGUUAGCAUAAUUAAUAAGAAAAUAUCACAUUAACAUAUAUACUAGCAUAAUUAAUUAGCAUCAAGGUGCAUUUAUCUUCAAAUAAAUAAAUAUUUAACAUAAUUUAAAGAUAUUAAAGAUAUGGAUAAUAAAAUAACAAGUUGUUCUAGAGACACAAAAUUUAACAUAAUAGAUAUAAGGGGACAAUAUUCAAACUCUAGUUUGCAUUAGAAUCUAUAAAUCAACAUUUUAACCCCAUUUUACAUUAGAAUCCAUAAAUCAACAUCUUCAGCUGCAUAAAAAAACAAAAGAUGAGUAAAAACCCAAGAGAGCAGCUACUGGCCUCAUCUGUGCCUUCUAGGAUCCGCUAGUAAAAAUGUCCAACAGAUAUCAAGUUCUAUAACAGUGUUUGAAAUUUGAACGUGAAACUUAUCAUAAAAAAUUCAAAUUUUAAUCACGGGAGCAUCCCGUGUAAACAAUAUUCUCUUUGUUUUUUUCCCCUUACAGCUAUGCUUUUUUCAUGCUUUUUAAUUUUUUUCCCCUUAUAGGACGAGCAAUCAAAUAAACCAAGAUGAGAAAUUAAGGAAACUGGGACUAUGAUAGACUGGGAAUGUAGAGAGAAGAAAUCACUAUGUUGUAUUCAACAUCAUGCCCAUUAUUGUUGCAUCAUGAAUCAGCUUCUUACUCAGUAUUAAUUCAAAUAAGAAAAUUAAAAAACUUGCAAUAUGGAACUCAUAGAAGCAAUGAGAAUAACUGCUCAUCAUCAUAAUAAUUUGAUAUUCAUCUUGCCAAAAAGCAUACAGGCAAUUUCAAUUCGGCAGAGUAAUGAUUGAUUCAUGGUACAGAGUAAUGACAGACAUGUAUGGCAGUAAUUGGUUUAAAUGAAUGUGCACAAAUUGGAUUAUUCCAGAUUAUAAUGUAAAAACAUCAUCAGAUAAAAGACUUGUAAAAAUAUUAAUUAUUCUAGAUUAUCAUACAGAGCACAAACCAAGAGGAGCAUGUUUUUUAUAAUGUAUAUUCAUUAAUAAAUUAUUAUGAAACUGUCCUGAGAAUGUUUGUUAUGAGAAAGUUAAAAAAAAAAAACAUGAAUUUAACAAAUAAUAAAUCAAUGACAGAAAGGGAAGUGAAAUGGGAGAUCCAAAAGGGGCUAGAAGAUUCAAAGACAAAAACCCAAAUGUGUAAAGCAAGUAGCAGAGCUGCAGAUGCGAAAAUCCAGAUGCGAAAAUCAUAAAAGCAAAUAAUUUGACUUGGACACAAUAUCAACGUAAAAGAGAUAGAGCACCUGUAGAUUUCUCCAAUGAACUCUCUGUUGAUUGUUGUCUAUUCUGCAGGAGAUACCGACAGAAGUAAAUCUCUUGGUUGUUGUCUAUUCUGCAAGAAAUUAGGGCAAAAACUCUAGCUUUCCUUUUGCUUUCCCUGAGUCAGUGAU
rnacentral:lncRNA from 1 species